rnacentral:rRNA from 2 species
AGCUCCAAUAGCGUAUAUUUAAGUUGUUGCAGUUAAAAAGCUCGUAGUUGGAUUUCGGGUGGGUUUCAGCGGUCCGCCUAUGGUGAGUACUGCUGUGGCCUUCCUUACUGUCGGGGACCUGCUUCUGGGCUUCAUUGUCCGGGACAGGGAUUCGGCAUGGUUACUUUGAGUAAAUUGGAGUGUUCAAAGCAGGCUUACGCCGUGAACAUUUUAGCAUGGAAUAACAUGAUAGGACUCUGCCCUAUUCUGUUGGCCUGUAGGAGUGGAGUAAUGAUUAAGAGGAACAGUCGGGGGCAUUCGUAUUUCAUUGUCAGAGGUGAAAUUCUUGGAUUUAUGAAAGACGAACUACUGCGAAAGCAUUUGCCAAGGAUGUUUUCAUUA